GGCAAGUGAUGGUUUUCUUUCUCACGAUGGUCUGCGGAUGCCCAAAGGUGGGCAGUGCCGAUAAUGCCACAGGCUCAACUGAUGCCAGGAG